AGUGAACGCUGGCGGUAGGCCUAACACAUGCAAGUCGAACGGCAGCACAGUAAGAGCUUGCUCUUACGGGUGGCGAGUGGCGGACGGGUGAGGAAUACAUCGGAAUCUACUUUUUCGUGGGGGAUAACGUAGGGAAACUUACGCUAAUACCGCAUACGACCUACGGGUGAAAGCAGGGGAUCUUCGGACCUUGCGCGAUUGAAUGAGCCGAUGUCGGAUUAGCUAGUUGGCGGGGUAAAGGCCCACCAAGGCGACGAUCCGUAGCUGGUCUGAGAGGAUGAUCAGCCACACUGGAACUGAGACACGGUCCAGACUCCUACGGGAGGCAGCAGUGGGGAAUGUUGGACAAUGGGCGCAAGCCUGAUCCAGCCAUACCGCGUGGGUGAAGAAGGCCUUCGGGUUGUAAAGCCCUUUUGUUGGGAAAGAAAAGCAGCAGGUUAAUACCCCGCUGUUCUGACGGUACCCAAAGAAUAAGCACCGGCUAACCUCGUG
rnacentral:rRNA from 1 species